UGAGUAGGGAUUCUUCAGAACCUGUUUACUAUUAUCAGUUUUCCUUCAGUGGACCUCUCAAUGCAUAUCCUGAUUUCCCAGGUGCUUCCCAUGGUGAUGACAGAAGAUACAUGAGUUACUAUACAUCACUAGAAACAGAUUCUGCUGGAUACAGAAUCGCAAUGCAGUUGUUACAACUGUGGACAAAUUUUGUGAAAUAUAGUGAUCCAAUUCCAUAUGACACUGAUGAAUUACUUACAGAAGACUGGAAACAAUAUGAGGCAGACAGCACAAAUUAUCUAGGAAUAGGCUCCACUCUUGAAGCAGGUACAGGGCUCAACAAGGAACGGAUGG